AAAACAUAAUUUAAAAGCAGAUGGUGGAUGUCUUGGGUGGUCGAAGCGAUGAAGGACGUGGCGUGGCUGCGAUAAGCUUCGGGGAGGUGCUUAGCAACCUUUGAUCCGGAGAUUUCCGAAUGGGGAAACCCAUCCCGACUAUAUAAAUCGGGAUACCCCGCCUCGGUGGGGAGCAUACCUGCUGAAGUGAAACAUCUCAGUAAGCAGAGGAAAAGAAAAAAAUAUUUAUUCCCUUAGUAGCGGCGAGCGAAAAGGGAAGAGCCCAAACUUCCGAUUUAUCGGAAGGGUUGUAAGUUAAUAGCGCUUUGGAGCUUUUGCUCUAAAAGGAGUUAAUAAAGACAAAAUUUCGUUAGUCAAACAAUACUGGAAAGUAUGACCAUAGAGGGUAAUAGUCCCGUAGGCGAAAACGAUUUUGUGCUCCUAGCUGUUAUACUUGAGUACCUUCGGGAAAGAAAGCCCGAUGGGAACCAGGCAGAACUAAUCUGCCAAGGCUAAAUAUUCGACUACACCGAUAGUGAACUAGUACCGUGAGGGAAAGAUGAAAAGUAGCCCGGUGAGGGCGGUGAAAUAGAACCUGAAACCAUCUUGCUUACAACGAGUCGAAGCCCCCCUCUUUUCGCGCUUGCGCAAAAGAGGGGGGUGACGGCGUGCUUUUUGCAGAACGAGCCAACGAGUUUCCCGCACCCUUUUGUCUAAUCCCGUUUCGGGAGGAGGCAUAGGGAAACCAAGUGUUAAUAGCGCGUUUCUAAAUUUUAUUUAGAAAGAAAGGUGCGGGAAGACCCGAAGCCAAGCGAGCUUACCAUGGCCAGGGUGAACUCCCGAGAAAUCGGGGGGGAGGCCCGAACCCGUGAGUCGUGCAAUGCUCUGGGAUGAGCUGUGGUAAGAAGUGAAAAGCUAAUCGAGCUUGGUAAUAGCUGGUUCUCUCCGAAAUAGCUUUAGGGCUAGCGUUCUGGAUGCCUCCGGGGGUAGAGCACUAGAUGGAAUAUCGUGGGCUUUGCCUAGAUAUUUCAACUAAACUCCGAAUACCGGCAGGAUUAACCAGAGCAGUUAGAAUGUGGGGGCUAAGCUCCAUAUUCAAAAGGGAAACAGCCCAGAUCAUCAUUUAAGGUCCCUAAAUUUGAGUUAAGUGGGAAAGGAGGUAGAAUUCCUUUGACAGUUAGGAGGUUAGCUUAGAAGCAGCGAACCUUUAAAAAGUGCGUAACAGCUUACUAACUAAGGGAUUUUGCAUCGAAGAUUUAACGGGGCUAAACUCAAUACCGAAGAUAUGACCCGCCUACAUCUGCGAAGUUGUGGCGGGGGUAGGAGAGCGCCGAGCACUCAGCGAAGGUGAACCGUGAGGUUUACUGGAGAGUGCCCGGGUGAGAAUGUUGGCAUGAGUAACCGCAAAUCCGAUGAGAUAUCGGAUCACCGAAAGCUCAAGGUUUCCUUGACAAUGGCAAUCAGUCAAGGGUUAGGCGGUCCUAAGGCAAACCUGAAAAGGGUAGCCGAUGGACAGCCGGUUAAUAUUCCGGCCCCUGAGCACUUUUUCAAAGAGACAACGAAGCUUAGUAGUCCCGGUGUGUUAUUGGAUUCACAUUUGCAUAUUGAGAUUCGUCAAGGUAUGUAAAAAGUUCUGGUUACGGCCAGAGCAAUCGGGAUGAGCAAGCUUCCUAGAAAAAUCUCUAAGAGCUAAAAGUGUUUAGUCCGUACCGCAAACCGACACAGGUGAGCAAGUGUAAGCGCACUAAGGUGAACGGGUGAAACCUCGUUAAGGAACUCGGCAAAAGAGCGGUCGUAACUUUGGAAUAAGACCUCCCCCCACUUUUUUCUAAAAGUGGGGGGCGCAGCGAAAGUACCCCUGGCGACUGUUUAUCAAAAACACAGGUCCCUGCUUAACUCGUAAGAGGAUGUAUAGGGGCUGAC
rnacentral:ncRNA from 1 species